rnacentral:ncRNA from 1 species
CAGAGUAGGUCCGGCGCGUCAAGUGCCGCGGGAUGGGAGGUCGCCCGCGGACGAAGGGGAUAUCCCCGCGGUGCCGUACCGCAUCCGCUGC